UAAAAAGGUCACUGAGAAUCUCUUACCUC
rnacentral:piRNA from 1 species